AUUGAACGCUGGCGGCAGGCCUAACACAUGCAAGUCGAGCGAGCGGCGGACGGGUGAGUAAUGUAUGGGGAACUGCCCGAUAGAGGGGGAUAACUACUGGAAACGGUAGCUAAUACCGCAUACCAUCGGAUGUACCCAUAUGGGAUUAGCUAGUAGGUGGGGUAAUGGCUCACCUAGGCGACGAUCCCUAGCUGGUCUGAGAGGAUGAUCAGCCACACGGGAACUGAGACACGGCCCAGACUCCUACGGGAGGCAGCAGUGGGGAAUAUGGCACAAUGGGCGCAAGCCUGAUGCAGCCAUGCCGCGUGUGUGAAGAAGGCCUUCGGGUUGUAAAGUACUUUCAGCGGGGAGGCGUUACCCACAGAAGAAGCACCGGCUAACUCCGUGCCAGCAGCCGCGGUAAUUC
rnacentral:rRNA from 1 species